UAUAGUAUACCUACUAUAGAAUUUUAAAGAUAAUAAACCGACAAAUGUACGAGAAUUAAAUCGUCACGAACAUCUAAUUGUAAAAACAGGUCAAGGAGGCGUUUAAACUUUUAUCACGCAAUAAUCGUCGUAUAAAAGUCGUAAUGUGCACAAUAUGGUUGUACUAGACCACAUACUUCAAUACUUGCCCGAAUCAUGAAAAACUAUUUAUAGAUUUACUUAUAUUUAUUGUAGGCUAUUUAGAGGACCCUCGUACGUACGGAAGGCGAUUCAGUUCGAAGUGUCCAAUCAGACAGAAAAAUAUACGAUAAAUACGUGACCUCGAAGCAUGGGCCAAAAUAUGGGGUACUUGUGUAUCCAUUCUCGGAAAUUAUCUACAGCAGCCCAACCAUCUCAGAUGAAGAUUAUCAAAGUUCUGCAGAGAUGAAUUCGAUUUAAUUCCAC